GACGAACGCUGGCGGCGUGCUUAACACAUGCAAGUCGAACGGAAAGGCCCUGCUUUUGUGGGGUGCUCGAGUGGCGAACGGGUGAGUAACACGUGAGUAACCUGCCCUUGACUUGGGGAUAACUUCAGGAAACUGGGGCUAAUACCGGAUAGGAGCUCCUGCUGCAGGGUGGGGGUUGGAAAGUUUCGGCGGUUGGGGAUGGACUCGCGGCUUAUCAGCUUGUUGGUGGGGUAGUGGCUUACCAAGGCUUUGACGGGUAGCCGGCCUGGGAGGGUGACCGGCCACAUUGGGACUGAGAUACAGCCCAGACUCCUACGGGAGGCAGCAGUGGGGAAUAUUGCACAAUGGGCGGAAGCCUGAUGCAGCAACGCCGCGUGCGGGAUGACGGCCUUCGGGUUGUAAACCGCUUUCGCCUGUGACGAAGCGUGAGUGACGGUAAUGGGUAAAGAAGCACCGGCUAACUACGUG
rnacentral:rRNA from 1 species